rnacentral:rRNA from 1 species
GCGGUGCAUUAGCUAGUUGGGUAAAGGUAAAAGGGCUUACCAAGGCGAUGAUGCAUAGCCGAGUUGAGAGACUGAUCGGCCACAUUGGGACUGAGACACGGCCCAAACUCCUACGGGAGGCAGCAGUAGGGAAUCUUCCACAAUGGACGCAAGUCUGAUGGAGCAACGCCGCGUGAGUGAAGAAGGUUUUCGGAUCGUAAAGCUCUGUUGUUGGUGAAGAAGGAUAGAGGUAGUAACUGGCCUUUAUUUGACGGUAAUCAACCAGAAAAGUCACGGGCUAACUACGUGCCAGCAGCCGCGGGUAAAU